GCCAGUGUGUUGUAGUGGUUUGAGCAUUACACUAUGAUUCUGAAGGCUAGAGUUUGAAUCCCCACUUUGGCU